GACGAAAGCUGGCGGCGUGCCUAACACAUGCAAGUCGAACGAAGCAUUUGGAGCUGAUCCCUUCGGAGUGACGCACCUUAUGACUUAGUGGCGGACGGGUGAGUAACACGUGAGCAACCUGCCUUUCAGGGUGAAUCACAGUUGGAAACGGCUGCUAAUACCGCAUAACGUCAUUUUGCCGCAUGACAGAGUGACCAAAGAUUUAUCGCUGAGACAUGGGAUCGCGUCCGAUUAGGUAGAUGGUGGGGUAACGGCCUACAAUGCCGACGAUCGGUAGGCGGAAUGAGAGGUUGCGCGGCCACAUUGGGACUGAGACACGGCCCAGACUCCUACGGGAGGCAGCAGUGGGGGAUAGUGCACAAUGGGCGCAAGCCUGAUGCAGCAACGCCGCGUGCGGGAAGACGGCCUUCGGGUUGUAAACCGCUGUCAUUGGGGAAGAAACAAAUGACGGUACCCAAGAAGGAAGCGACGGCUAACUACGUGCCAGCCGCCGCAGUAAAAC
rnacentral:rRNA from 1 species